GUGUCUUGGCCGUGCGGAAGAGUAUGCUUCUAUUGUGAAGGUGCCUUGGCCGUGCGGAAGAGUAUGCUUCUAUUGUGAAGGUGCCUUGGCCGUGCGGAAGAGUAUGCUUCUACCGUGAAGGUGCCUUGGCCGUGCGGAAGAGUAUGCUUCUACCGUGAAGGUGCCUUGGCCGUGCGGAAGAGUAUGCUUCUACUGUGAAGGUGUCUUGGCCGUGCGGAAGAGUAUGCUUCUAUUGUGAAGGUGUCUUGGCCG